GGGGAUAUAGCUCAGUUGGUAGAGUGCUUGCCUCAUAUGCAUGAGGUCCUGAGUUCAAUCCCCAGUACCACCA